GGGGGAGUAGCUCAGUGGUAGAGCGUGUCCGACACAAGCCCGAAGGCCAAUUCGGCAGGCGCUUAAGGCGCAGCCAAAACAAUUGAGCCGGGAGGCGUGAGGGCAAGGUCGGUGGUUCGAAUCCAUCCUCCUCCA